rnacentral:rRNA from 1 species
AUUGAACGCUGGCGGCAGGCCUAACACAUGCAAGUCGAGCGGAUGAAGGGAGCUUGCUCCUGGAUUCAGCGGCGGACGGGUGAGUAAUGCCUAGGAAUCUGCCUGGCAGUGGGGGAUAACGUCCGGAAACGGGCGCUAAUACCGCAUACGUCCUGAGGGAGAAAGUGGGGGAUCUUCGGACCUCACGCUCUCAGAUGAGCCUAGGUCGGAUUAGCUAGUUGGUGGGGUAAAGGCCUACCAAGGCGACGAUCCGUAGCUGGUCUGAGAGGAUGAUCAGUCACACUGGAACUGAGACACGGUCCAGACUCCUACGGGAGGCAGCAGUGGGGAAUAUUGGACAAUGGGCGAAAGCCUGAUCCAGCCAUGCCGCGUGUGUGAAGAAGGUCUUCGGAUUGUAAAGCACUUUAAGUUGGGAGGAAGGGCAGUAAGUUAAUACCUUGCUGUUUUGACGUUACCAACAGAAUAAGCACCGGCUAACUUCGUG